UACGUAGGGUGCGAGCGUUGUCCGGAAUUAUUGGGCGUAAAGAGCUCGUAGGCGGUUUGUCGCGUCGACUGUGAAAACCUACAGCUUAACUGUGGGCUUGCAGUCGAUACGGGCAGACUUGAGUUCGGUAGGGGAGACUGGAAUUCCUGGUGUAGCGGUGAAAUGCGCAGAUAUCAGGAGGAACACCGGUGGCGAAGGCGGGUCUCUGGGCUGACACUGACGCUCAUGCACGAAAGCGUGGGGAGCAAACAGG
rnacentral:rRNA from 1 species